GCCGGCGUAGCUCAGCAGGUAGAGCAGCUGAUUCGUAAUCAGCAGGUCGGCGGUUCGAGUCCGCCUGCCGGCU
rnacentral:tRNA from 1 species